rnacentral:rRNA from 1 species
GAGACGCUGCGCGUGCUACACAUGCAAGUCAACGGAGCUAGACGCUGAGGCGUAGCUUGCUAUUGAAUCUUGUUUUAGCUUAGUGGCGGACGGGUGAGUAACGCGUGAGCAACCUACCUUUCAGAGGGGGAUAACGUUUGGAAACGAACGCUAAUACCGCAUGAUAUUAUUGGGCAGCAUUGCCUGAUAAUCAAAGGAGCAAUCCGCUGAAAGAUGGGCUCGCGUCCGAUUAGGUAGUUGCGGGGUAACGGCCCACCCAAGCCGACGAUCGGUAGCCGGACUGAGAGGUUGAACGGCCACAUUGGGACUGAGACACGGCCCAGACUCCUACGGGAGGCAGCAGUGAGGGAUAUUGGUCAAUGGGGGAAACCCUGAACCAGCAACGCUGCGUGAGGGAAGACGGUUUUCGGAUUGUAAACCUCUGUCCUCUGUGAAGAUGAUGACGGUAGCAGAGGAGGAAGCUCCGGCUAACUACGUG